GGUUAAGCGACUAAGCGUACACGGUGGAUGCCCUGGCAGUCAGAGGCGAUGAAGGACGUGCUAAUCUGCGAUAAGCGCCGGUAAGGUGAUAUGAACCGUUAUAACCGGCGAUUUCCGAAUGGGGAAACCCAGUGUGACUCGUCACACUAUCAUUAACUGAAUCCAUAGGUUAAUGAGGCGAACCGGGGGAACUGAAACAUCUAAGUACCCCGAGGAAAAGAAAUCAACCGAGAUUCCCCCAGUAGCGGCGAGCGAACGGGGAGGAGCCCAGAGCCUGAAUCAGCAUGUGUGUUAGUGGAAGCGUCUGGAAAGGCGCGCGAUACAGGGUGACAGCCCCGUACACAAAAGCGCAUGUGCUGUGAGCUCGAUGAGUAGGGCGGGACACGUGGUAUCCUGUCUGAAUAUGGGGGGACCAUCCUCCAAGGCUAAAUACUCCUGACUGACCGAUAGUGAACCAGUACCGUGAGGGAAAGGCGAAAAGAACCCCGGCGAGGGGAGUGAAAAAGAACCUGAAACCGUGUACGUACAAGCAGUGGGAGCACCCUUUGGGGUGUGACUGCGUACCUUUUGUAUAAUGGGUCAGCGACUUAUAUUCUGUAGCAAGGUUAACCGAAUAGGGGAGCCGGAGGGAAACCGAGUCUUAAUUGGGCGUUAAGUUGCAGGGUAUAGACCCGAAACCCGGUGAUCUAGCCAUGGGCAGGUUGAAGGUUGGGUAACACUAACUGGAGGACCGAACCGACUAAUGUUGAAAAAUUAGCGGAUGACCUGUGGCUGGGGGUGAAAGGCCAAUCAAACCGGGAGAUAGCUGGUUCUCCCCGAAAGCUAUUUAGGUAGCGCCUCGUG
rnacentral:rRNA from 1 species